AUUGAACGCUGGCGGCAGGCCUAACACAUGCAAGUCGAGCGAGCGGCGGACGGGUGAGUAAUGUAUGGGGCUCUGCCCGAUAGAGGGGGUUAACUACUGGAAACGGUGGCUAAUACCGCCUACUAUCGGAUGAACCCAUAUGGGCUUAGCGAGUAGGUGGGGUAAAGGCGCACCUAGGCGACGAUCUCUAGCUGGUCUGAGAGGAUGAUCAGCCACACUGGGACUGAGACACGGCCCAGACUCCUACGGGAGGCAGCAGUGGGGAAGAUUGCACAAUGGGCGAAAGCCUGAUGCAGCCAUGCCGCGUGUAGGAAGAAGGCCUUAGGGUUGUAAAGUACGUUCAGCGGGGAGGCGUUACCCGCAGAAGAAGGACCGGCUAACUCCGUGCCAGCAGCCGCGGUAAUUC
rnacentral:rRNA from 1 species